UACGUAGGGGGCAAGCGUUGUCCGGAUUUAUUGGGCGUAAAGAGCGUGUAGGCGGCCCUGUAGGUCCGUUGUGAAAACUCGAGGCUCAACCUCGAGACGCCGAUGGAAACCAUGUGGCUAGAGUCCGGAAGAGGAGAGUGGAAUUCCUGGUGUAGCGGUGAAAUGCGCAGAUAUCGGGAGGAACACCAGUAGCGAAGGCGGCUCGCUGGGCCAUACCUGACGCUGAGACGCGAAAGCUAGGGGAGCGAACAGG
rnacentral:rRNA from 1 species